rnacentral:rRNA from 1 species
UACAGAGGGUGCGAGCGUUGUUCGGAAUUAUUGGGCGUAAAGGGCGCGUAGGCGGUGCGGUAAGUCACCUGUGAAAUCUCCUGGCUCAACUGGGAGUCUGCAGGCGAAACUGCCGUGCUGGAGUGUGGGAGAGGUGAGUGGAAUUCCCGGUGUAGCGGUGAAAUGCGUAGAUAUCAAGUGGAACACCAGUGGCGAAGGCGAGUCUCUGGACAUUUCCUGACGCUGAGGCACGAAAGCCAGGGGAGCAAACGGG